rnacentral:tRNA from 1 species
GCCGGCGUAGCUCAGCAUUGGUUAGAGCGCCUGACUGUGGAUCAGGAGGUCAUGGGUUCGAGUCCCGUCGCCGGUACCA